UACGGAGGGUGCAAGCGUUAUCCGGAUUCACUGGGUUUAAAGGGUGCGUAGGUGGGUUGGUAAGUCAGUGGUGAAAUCUCCGGGCUUAACCUGGAAACUGCCUUUGAGACUGCAGGACUUGAGGGCGUGAGAGGAGACUGGAAUUCCUAGUGUAGCGGUGAAAUGCGUAGAUAUCUGGAGGAACACCGGUGGCGAAGGCGGCAUCCUGGACCGGUAUUGACGCUGAGGCGCGAAAGCCAGGGGAGCAAACGGG
rnacentral:rRNA from 1 species